rnacentral:rRNA from 1 species
GAUUAUGACGUACUUGUACUGAUUGAGAUUUUAACACGAAGUGAGUGGCGAACGGGUGAGUAACACGUGGGUAACCUGCCCAGAAGUAGGGGAUAACACCUGGAAACAGAUGCUAAUACCGUAUAACAGAGAAAACCGCAUGGUUUUCUUUUAAAAGAUGGCUCUGCUAUCACUUCUGGAUGGACCCGCGGCGUAUUAGCUAGUUGGUGAGGUAAAGGCUCACCAAGGCAGUGAUACGUAGCCGACCUGAGAGGGUAAUCGGCCACAUUGGGACUGAGACACGGCCCAGACUCCUACGGGAGGCAGCAGUAGGGAAUCUUCCACAAUGGACGCAAGUCUGAUGGAGCAACGCCGCGUGAGUGAAGAAGGGUUUCGGCUCGUAAAGCUCUGUUGUUAAAGAAGAACGUGGGUAAGAGUAACUGUUUACCCAGUGACGGUAUUUAACCAGAAAGCCACGGCUAACUACGUGCCAGCAGCCGCGGUAAUACGUAGGUGGCAAGCGUUAUCCGGAUUUAUUGGGCGUAAAGCGAGCGCAGGCGGUCUUUUAAGUCUAAUGUGAAAGCCUUCGGCUCAACCGAAGAAGUGCAUUGGAAACUGGGAGACUUGAGUGCAGAAGAGGACAGUGGAACUCCAUGUGUAG